GAUCCUGGCUCAGAUUGAACGCUGGCGGCAGGCUUAACACAUGCAAGUCAAACGGUAACAUAAAGAAGCUUGCUUCUUUGAUGACGAGUGGCGGACGGGUGAGUAAUGCUUGGGAAUCUAGCUUAUGGAGGGGGAUAACUACGGGAAACUGUAGCUAAUACCGCGUAGAAUCGAGAGAUGAAAGUGUGGGACCUUCGGGCCACAUGCCAUAGGACGAGCCCAAGUGGGAUUAGGUAGUUGGUG
rnacentral:rRNA from 1 species